UUGAAGGCUCAGCGGAAUGAGUUUUUUGUUUAUAAAUUUUUGACUGGUUUGAAUAAUGAUUUGAAGGCAAUAAAGGGCCAUUUACUUGCAGGCGAUACUGUCCCUACUCUGAAUUACACUUAUUCGCGACUGCAUCGUAUCACUUCAUCAACUAAAUCUGAUCAGUCUUCCAAAGACAAUUCUGCCUUCCUUGCCAACCGUUGACGUGGUUGCGGUCGUGGAUCGAUUGGUCGAGGUUCUAACGGACAACCUUCUGAUUGUGUAGCCCGCCAGUGCACUUAUUGUGGGAAGCCCAACUAUACUAUAGAGAUUUGCUGGGCAAAGCAUGGCAAGCCAGAGUGGGCAACCCAGUUAGCCAAUCAUGCAGUAUCAGAUGAUGGUACUGACAUAGUGUCUUCCGUUGAUGCUAAACCGAGACCUUCUUCAAGCGAUUCAUCUACCAGUCUGCUCGAUGACAUCAAUCAGUUGCUCUGGUGCUUGCACACUCUCGAGGCAUCCUUUAAUACAUCCAAUGGAUCUUCACACGAGGAAGACGAUUGGUGGAGGGUGUGAAAAGGAUGGUUUAUAUUAUUUCAAUUGUGGCUCUCCUACUUCUUCUGCUGCUGCUACUACUGUUGGGGAUGUGACCCCUUUCCAAUGGCACUGUCGUUUAGAACAUUUAUAUUUGUCUAUGUUAAAACUUUAAUUUCCUAAUUUUAAGUCUAUUCUUAGGUUAGAAUGUGAGGCAUGUGAGUUGGGCAAACAUCAUCGUGUGUCCUUCCCAUCUCGCUCUGUGUCUCGUAGUCUGUCUUCAUUUUCUUAGUCCAUUCUGAUGUACGGGUCUUUGUAGAGUUAGUAAUAGAUUUGAUUUUCGCUAUUUUGUGACUUUUGUGGAUGAUCAUUCUCGCCAUACAUGGAUUUAUAUGUUAAAAGACAGAUCUGAAUUUUUAUAUAUGCUUAAAAAAUUCUAUAAUGAAAUAAAAACUCAGUUUGGUAUUUUAA